UAAUACGUAGGGUGCUAGCGUUGUUCGGAAUCAUUGGGCGUAAAGCGCGUGUAGGCGGUCAAAUAAGUCUGGUGUGAAAGCCCUGGGCUCAACCGAGGAAGUGCAUCAGAAACUAUUUGACUAGAAGACGGUAGAGGAAGGUGGAAUUCCAAGUGUAGAGGUGAAAUUCGUAGAUAUUUGGAGGAAUACCGGUGGCGAAGGCGGCCUUCUGGGCCGAUCUUGACGCUGAGACGCGAAAGCGUGGGGAGCAAACAGGAUUAGAUACCCUGGUAGUCCACGCUGUAAACGAUGGGUACUAGAUGUUGGAGGAAUUGACCCCUCCAGUGUCGACGCUAACGCAUUAAGUACCCCGCCUGGGAAGUACGGCCGCAAGGUUA
rnacentral:rRNA from 1 species